rnacentral:rRNA from 1 species
AUACGUAGGGUGCAAGCGUUAAUCGGAAUUACUGGGCGUAAAGCGUGCGCAGGCGGUUUUGUAAGACAGUGGUGAAAUCCCCGGGCUCAACCUGGGAACUGCCAUUGUGACUGCGAGGCUGGAGUGCGGCAGAGGGGGAUGGAAUUCCGCGUGUAGCAGUGAAAUGCGUAGAUAUGCGGAGGAACACCGAUGGCGAAGGCAAUCCCCUGGGCCUGCACUGACGCUCAUGCACGAAAGCGUGGGGAGCAAACAGGAUUAGAUACCCUGGUAGUCCACGCCCUAAACGAUGUCAACUGGUUGUUGGGGAUUUAUUUUCUCAGUAACGAAGCUAACGCGUGAAGUUGACCGCCUGGGGAGUACGGCCGCAAGGUUAAAACUCAAAGGAAUUGACGGGG